UACGUAGGGUGCGAGCGUUGUCCGGAAUUAUUGGGCGUAAAGAGCUCGUAGGCGGUGUGUCACGUCGGCCGUGAAAACCUGCAGCUUAACUGUGGGCGUGCGGUCGAUACGGGCAUCACUGGAGUUCGGCAGGGGAGACUGGAAUUCUCGGUGUAGCGGUGAAAUGCGUAGAUAUCGAGAGGAACACCUGCGGCGAAGGCGGGUUGCUGGGCUGACACUGACGCUGAUGCGCGAAAGCUAGGGGAGCGAACGGG
rnacentral:rRNA from 1 species